AACGAACGCUGGCGGCAGGCUUAACACAUGCAAGUCGAACGGACCUUCCGGGGUGAGUGGCGGACGGGGGAGGAACGCGGGGGAAGCUACCCGUGUCUACGGGACAGCUCCGGGAAACUGGAAUUAAGACAGGAUACGUCCAGAGGGGGAAAGAUUUAUCGGGGAAGGGUGCGCCCGCGUUGGCUUAGCUGGUUGGUGGGGUAAAGGCCUACCAAGGCGACGAUCGAUAGCUGGUCUAAGAGGACGAUCAGCGACGUUGGGACUUAGAGCCGGCCCAAACUCCUGCGGGAGGCGGCAGUGGGGAAUCUUGGACGACGGGCGCAUGCCUGAUCCAGCCAUGCCGCGUGAGUGAUGAAGUCCCUAGGGUUGUAAAGCUCUCUCAGUGGGGACGAUAAUGACGGUACCCACAGAAGAAGCCCCGGCUAACUUCGUG
rnacentral:rRNA from 1 species